rnacentral:sRNA from 1 species
GCAGUCAAAGCACCAAUGCACAUAAAUCGUUUUAAAAAGCAUAAAAUUUAAAAAAGAGAGAGACCCCAGCUACACAGCUUGAAACUACACCUGUGCUGCUCGAGAUACUAACUGUGUGGCCCCUUCCCGACGGAACCAAACCUGUGUGCAGUGUGAAGCUGGAGUCUGUGCAAUCUUUCUGAUGCAUGGCAUUGCAGCAUGCCCUUUUGCUUCCUGUUUUUGGGGCCGAGAUAGGAGCCAGGGUGCCUGUUAGGCAUGCGUUAUACUAACAUACUACUACAUGCUAUCCAUCAUUCUACUGUUGACGGACAUCUGGCAGCUGCUGCGGUGAGGCGUUCCAAACCUUCUCUUUGAUGGAUGCGUGUGUACGUUCGUGCGUGUCAAUUGGGCAUCUGCACUUAGAGAAGAAAUUGUUCACUUGGACAGUGUGUGUUCAGCUUUGGUGACUACUGCCAAAUGGUUUUCCAAAACAGACAUAUUUUCAAGUAGAUACUUAUUUUGUCUUGCCAUCACCAAAGGAAGUAACGUGGGUAUCAGCCUUCUAAGCUAACAGGGAAAAGAAAAGCACCAGGAUUGCUGAGAGACAACAGCCUCCGAGGUCCUUAUUCCGGUUAUUUGGGUGGAUCUGCAGGAAACAAGGUUGCUGGUACAAGCCCAUGCUCUUCUCUGCUUUUCCAAUCUCCCCUCUUGGAAGGGACUCUGAGAGGUUUCAUCGAAGGCCUUGAUGGAGAGACUGAAGCUGAGAACAUGGUCAACCCUGUAUCCCAUUCGAGUUUUGUUCCUGGAGAUGUAAAGGAAUAUACAUACGAGUGACAUCCUGAUCACGGCCUCGAACAUUUUCAAUGCAGUCUACUGCGCUUGGUUUUCCCAUGGAACAUGUACUUGAUUUUCUAACAGAAUUAACGGGAAUGGGAAUAGAGUUUGCUGUUCAGAAAAUGUCUUGCCUCCUACAAGCCAAUACUGGAGACGGAUGCGUUCUGCCUGAGAACCUGUCUGUGACGUGUGUAGUCAUCGGUUUGACAGUCAGGCUGGGAUAUGAGUUUACCCUGACUCAUCCUCACCAGCCAAGUGAACAGUGAAGAAUACCAGGAACCAGUAAGAUUUCAGAAAGGCCAGGCUGUAAGUGUCACACAUUUCAUGAAAUGUGGUUUCUAUAGCCAGUGUUCCACUGAGUUGCUAUGAUGUGGAAACAUGGCCAACCCACAAAUGCAGCUGGCCCAUGGGCUGUGUGGCUGACUCUACCCCACAAUGGGAUAUGCAGACCCUGUGUACAGCCCAGCCUGGACACUACAAAAGACCUUUCCUUGGUUUAUACAUCGUCUCCACAAAAGCUUGAUAAACCAUAACAUAUGAACCUAUUAUUCACUAUCAACCCAACAGAUCGACCUACGGUCUCAUAAUACUUGUCUCUGGUCACCAGAGCAAGUGUUCAUUAGGUCAUUUGACUUGACUCCACCUUCCCCCUGGGAGACAAUAAGUCCUGAAGGCCAGCGUCAAGCAGCAGAACAGGAGCCACAGAGAAAUUAAUUAGCACAUUAGGUGUGGCGUACACUUGUGACUCUGGGAAGUAAAUUGAGGAGGUGCUGAAAGAGAUUGAGAGACUCUCACAUGUGUGGUUAUAAUCAGCAAGCUCACGGUGAGGUAAUAAGCCAGCGCGGCCUCCUUGGCUACAGCGCAAGCAAAUUUGUUGUUGACCAAAUGCCUUGAUGUUCGACUCUGAAGGCUGUGACAAGGCUGAAGGCAGUGGCCAGUGGUGUCCCAGAGCCUGGGAAGCACUGAGAACUGUGGUGCAGGAAUCAAAGUAGUUUGUCAGGACCAAAUGUAAAACUCUAACUGCUUUCUAAGUGCAGGCUCUCCUCUGGUCAGCCAGCUUUGCUGUGACCUUAGAUGGGGACGUCCUCUCACUACUGGACACUCAGCAGACAUGUGACAUUGCCCAGGUGCCCGCUGCUCUUCCAUGUCCCCGCCAGCUUCACAUUCAAGCUCUCAGGUCUCUGUCUGACUCCUCAGGGAUCUCUCUCCAGCCCAAAUCAUGGCUGCUUUUCUUCCACCAAAACUUGCCUGCCGUGAGUCUCGCCAUCCCACCUUCCCGGCCAGGUCAGAAGCCUGCUGUGACAUAUGGGCUGUGGGCAGAACGGGGGCCAAAUCUGGCACUGCCACCGACUGGCUGCCUGUGUGAAUCAGUCAACACUAGACUUGAGGGACUUUGGGGUUUUACCUGAGCAUCUUCAGACUCUUAACAGAUAUCAUUUACAUAGAUGCAAAUGAGGGCUGCAUAGCUGAGUGUGAAUUUAAAAUACACUAGGACUCAAUAAUUGGAUGCUCGAAAUUACAAUAGGACUCGAUGACUCUUUUCUUCGUAACCUUUGUAAAAAGGAGAACAUAUGCUCCAAAGAGCACAUCAGUCAUGAUGCGUAGCUCUCUGUGAAUAAUCACAACAUGACGAUGGCAUGUAAGGAAAGAACGAUGACGGAGAGAAACCACCAGCACCUGAAGCCCCUUGUCUUCCCUCAGGUUUAGGUGCCAUAUUGAACCCUUUCAUCUCUGCUACUCUUCCAGGCCCUGGGUCUUCUGUGCUGCACCCUGGGCCGCCUCAGGAAAUACAGUGGAAAGAGCGUGUACUUUGGAGCGUGCCUUCCAAGAGCCUCUCUCACGCCUGUAGCACUCACUAGUGUUGAAGAUCUGAUAAGACACAGUAUCUCCCUAAUGGUCUCUGAGCACUGUCCUGGGGAACCACUGUGCUGUCUGUUUCCGAGGGGACAGGGAGGAAGGCUGGUGCUUCGCAUGUAGCCACUGAAGUUUCACAUAUAUGCUCUGAGGACCUCUAAAUCCCUGUGUGGGAAGUCACUGAGUUUGGUUCACAGGUUGCCUCUGUGAUUCUCAUGAAGAGGUCUGGUCUGGUCUCAAACCCUAGUCCUGACAGACUGGAAGCUGUUUUUGGGCUCUGGUGCUGCUGAGUGUGACCCAUAGGUGACGAGACAAAGGGAAGGAUCCAGAAUUACCUACAGUCCCAUGGACAUCUGAAUGCAAGUUUGGGCCAGAGUGCUGGUCCCUUUAAGAGAUUACCUUCAUUAAUAUUUAUGUGAGCCUUGCUAGGAUGUUUCCUAAACAGACAUACAAAUGCCAGCCUUAUGACACUGGCUAAUAAAAACCAAAUCCUCUGGCU